rnacentral:rRNA from 1 species
GGACUACUGGGGUAUCUAAUCCCGUUCGCUACCUACGCUUUCGUGUAUGAGCGUCAGAAACGCGCCAGUGAACUGCCUUCGCAUUUGGUGUUCCCCAUGAUAUCAACGGAUUUCACCCCUACACCAUGAGUUCCAUUCACCUCUCGCGCCCUCUAAGCGAUGCCCUCUCCUGUGCAUUCUUUGGGUUGAGCCCAAAGCCUUUGACGCAAGACUAACAUCGCCGCCUGCACACCCUUUACGCCCAGUGAUUCCGGGUAACGCUUGAGGCCUCUGUAUUACCGCGGCUGCUGGCAC